rnacentral:rRNA from 1 species
UACGGAGGGGGGCUAGCGUUGCUCGGAAUCACUGGGCGUAAAGCGCACGUAGGCGGCUUUUUUAAGUCAGAGGUGAAAUCCUGGAGCUCAACUCCAGAACUGCCUUUGAUACUGGAGAGCUUGAGUCCGGGAGAGGUGAGUGGAACUGCGAGUGUAGAGGUGAAAUUCGUAGAUAUUCGCAAGAACACCAGUGGCGAAGGCGGCUCACUGGCCCGAUACUGACGCUGAUGCACGAAAGCGUGGGGAGCAAACAGG